rnacentral:rRNA from 1 species
ACGGAAGGCAGCAGUGGGGGGUAUUGCACAAUGGAGGAAACUCUGAUGCAGCAACGCCGCGUGAGGGAAGAAGGUUUUCGGAUUGUAAACCUCUGUUAUUAGUGAAGAAACAAAUGACGGUAGCUAAUGAGGAAGCCACGGCUAACUACGUGCCAGCAGCCGCGGUAAUACGUAGGUGGCAAGCGUUGUCCGGAAUUACUGGGUGUAAAGGGUGCGCAGGCGGGACUGCAAGUUGGAUGUGAAAUGCUGAGGCUUAACCUCAGAACUGCAUCCAAAACUGUAGUUCUUGAGUGGAGUAGAGGUAAGCGGAAUUCCGAGUGUAGCGGUGAAAUGCGUAGAUAUUCGGAGGAACACCAGUGGCGAAGGCGGCUUACUGGGCUCUAACUGACGCUGAGGCACAAAAGUGUGGGUAGCAAACAGGAUUAGAUACCCUGGUA